rnacentral:rRNA from 1 species
CGAAGGGGGCUAGCGUUGCUCGGAAUCACUGGGCGUAAAGGGUGCGUAGGCGGGUCUUUAAGUCAGGGGGGAAAUCCUGGAGCUCAACUCCAGAACUGCCUUUGAUACUGAGGAUCUUGAGUCCGGGAGAGGUGAGUGGAACUGCGAGUGUAGAGGUGAAAUUCGUAGAUAUUCGCAAGAACACCAGUGGCGAAGGCGGCUCACUGGCCCGGUACUGACGCUGAGGCACGAAAGCGUGGGGAGCAAACAGG